ensembl:lncRNA
AGCUAGUUGAAGAGAACAAUGACUCAGUGUUCCAGUGUGACUGAGGGACAGUGCGCUGAAGCUUUACUCUCUCUACUCGAGUUGUAUAGAGAGCGCGUGCUUUGAAGUACAGCUGGCUGCAAUACUCAGCCAAUCUGAGCGCGCGACGAGCCGCGUCCGACCAAUGAGCGACGCGACCAUGACAGAAAUACUAAAGCUGCACGUCAAUCAAUGACUGGGGUACUGAUCCCACUGUCAAGCAAUAAGCCAUCGUCUAUUUUUCAUCGUUUUUUAUAUAUAUAUGGCCAUCAAGGCGCAGAAUCCGCACAGACUAUAGCGCUCAGCUCAUAUUGGUAUUUAAUGGGCAUCCUCCGAGGAGCCAGUCACUGAAACGCAGUCUUGGAUGAAGAGGACAGAGGGGCACCACUGAUCCCACAACAGGAAGUCAGCUCGACACAACAGCGCUCCGCAUCUCAAGGCUUCCUCUUCCGCAUCACUGAGCCAGAUAAAAACACUGAAUCCAGGCACCACCAACGCUGCCAUUUGCCCUCAUCACAACACACACACACACACACAUACACACACCUGCCAGGUAUGGGGUCAGUCUGUCUCACACUGUGCGUCUGUCUGUCUGUAUUGGUUAAAAGCUUUCUUUCUGCACCAGACACAGUCAAUGAAGGGGCAAGGGGCAAUGAAUUAAGAAAUAAAUAUAUCAGGCCAUAUGCAUUUUGGAGUUCUGUUAAUGCUUUAAAAAUGGUUAAUCAAACAAUUAUUUUCUGCCAUGGCUAACUUCAUUUUAUGUACCAGCACCCACUGGGCCGCUUUCUUAUAGAUUUUUAUUUUAUUAUAUUUACAGUGGCUCCAAAAUGCAUUUAGACAAUUCACCUCAUUAACUCAUUAUUAAUGAGUUACGUUCUCACUAAAAUAUUUCACUAACAUUUUACAACCAGAAAAUGUCACUUUAACAGAAAACCCAUUUUAUCAUUCAAAACCUUAAUAAUUAAUUAAUUUUAUUUUAUUUAUUUUUAUUUAUUUUUUUUCAUUUUUUUUUUUUCACGAUAUGUGUGCUUUUAAGUACAAAAUAUAUUUAAAAUAAAUUCUGCUUGGUUUGAUAUUUUGUAUUUAAU